CGUAGGGGCGAGCGUUGUCCGGAUUUACUGGGCGUAAAGGGUGAGUAGGCGGUUAUUUAAGUCAGAUGUAAAAGGCUAUGGCUCAACUAUAGUAAGCAUUUGAAACUGGAUAACUUGAGUGCAGGAGAGGUAAGUGGAAUUCCUAGUAUAGCGGUGAAAUGCGUAGAUAUUAGGAGGAACACCAGUGGCGAAGGCGACUUACUGGACUGUAACUGACGCUGAGUCACGAAAGCGUGGGUAGCAAACAGGAUU
rnacentral:rRNA from 1 species